UAGAUGCGGAUUCUGGAGUUGGUGGUACCAAGGAAGGGAUUGGGGAUGGUUCUUUUGGAAUGGGCAAACUACUACUAUGGAUUAAAGACCGAUACAACAAUCCCGAUAUGAUUAUUACUGAAAACGGACUGAUGACCCAAACAGAAACGUUGGAAGAUGAUGAUAGGAUUAGUAUGGU
rnacentral:lncRNA from 1 species